GUAAUUAACAAUGUAUUUAUUAUACUUUGAUUCUGGACACCUAUUACCCUAGGGUGCUAGUUGAAUGGAUAUUGGGUAUAAUUUAAAUACUUGUAGAAUUAAUGAUUAGUCAAUAAGAAAUCCAUCAACUCUCGGUAAAGAGUUUGAGCUCUAUGAUUAUAAUGACUGAGAUGAAUAAAACCUUGACCAAAGGGAUUGAAUGAAUAAAGAAAUGAGUUUCUUAAGUCAUUCACAGUUCAUUAUAAUAAUGGUAACAAGUUAGAGUUUGACAAUUAAACCAAACUCUAAGGGUGUGUGUGGUUGGGGGAAUUAUAGAACAUUCCCAGGAAUUUUAAGAUGGGAAUAUGAAAUUCCUAUGUGUGGUUCAAAGUUAAAAAAAACAUUCCAAGAUAACUUUUAUUCCUUGGAAUUGAAUUACCACUCAUUCAAUUCCUAUCUCCCCCUGGUUAUCUUUCAUUCCAAUGGGAAUGGAAUAUAAAUAAUGAAACAAAAAGACUAAAUUACCCCUAUUAUUUAAUACUAUAUUUCACUUCUUCUUCAUUUUUUUUGAAGAACUAAACCCUAGCAGAGCAGUUUUUUCCCAAAUCAGUGAGCUUCACCAACGCCACCGCCACCGGAGCCGGCACCGGCACCGGCACCGCCGUUACUCUAAACGGAAGAUUCGUCUCCUUAUCUUCUCCGAUUCAUGUUCGCAUUGCUUUUCUCUGUGAAUUUUCUUCGAAUCUCAUAUUAAGGUUUGAGUUUUUUCCCAAAUCAGUGGAGGCUUCACCAACGCCACCGCUAUCGGAGCUACACCGGCACCAUCGCCAUCGGAGCUACACCGGUGCCACCGUUACCUUAAACGGAAGACUGGUUUCCUUCUCUUUUUCAAGUUCAUGUUCGCAUUGCUUAUCUCUGCGAAUUCUCUUUGAAUCUCUCGUUAAGAUUGUUUGUUGAUAACCAUUGCCCAUGGAAAGCAAAAUGCCUUUCUCUUCAAGUAUUAUCCAAGCUAGGCCCAAACUUGAGCAGCAGUGUUGUUCUUGAAGUUUUAGAUAUGGGUCUGCAUGAUGAAGCUGAAAAAGUAAGAACUGAAGCUGUCAUUUCUAUGCCAGUGAUGCUUUUCUGGUCUACUCUUGAUAUAUCAUCUCCUGUCAUUCAAAAGAUUGAGUAAGUAACUAAGUAAAUGUUUUUGCGUACAUGAUUUAAAUAAUGUGUUUGGUCAGGCUUGUUAUUUGGUUAGUUUCAUUGUAGCUGUUUGUUUAACGUGAAGGCUCUCAUCGACGAGAUGUUGAUAUUUGAAUUGCAGGAGGUAAUUGAAAGAACAUGUUUGCUAUUUUUUUUCCUUUCCUCCGAACUGUUGCUUCCUUUUUCUAGGAUGAUUAUGUCUGGAACAAGCAUUUCUUUUUCCUUUUCUAUCUUUCUCUCUUUUUUUUCCCAUCAUUUAAAAUUCAAAUGGCAAAAUCUUGUUCUUUGAAGUGUGUUUCCCCUUUAUACCUCUAUUUUUCAUCAAGAUUGUUUGAUUAGAGGUUUUCUGUUUCCAAGGUUUUUCCUAUUCCAAUAUUAUGACAACUGCUCCAGUUCUUAAGCAUUCUUUUGCCAUUAUGUAUGUGUCAGUUAAAUUUCCCAUCACAUUGAUAUAUGCAUGGAGGAAAGUUGUAUCUCUUUUAACAAAUGAUGCACAAACAAAUCUUCUACUUGUUAUCCAUAAAGGUAUCUCUUUUAACAAGUGAUGCAUAAAGAAAUUGGUUCCCAUAACACUUGGUCUGUUGUCAUGCCUUUAUGGAUGCAGAGGAGCUACCUCUGGCUUACAUACAGAUGAAUGCCUUUAUGGUGAAGUCAUUGUUGUUUUCUCUAACCAUGUUGGAAAUCAUUUUGGUGUCUGGUUUCUUCUGAGCAUUUUGGUGCCAAGGAUGAUUAGCAAAAGAACCAUAGAUGGAGCUGCUAUUCAAUGUGAUACAAGCCUGAUGAUUGUAACUAAGAACGGAGAUUUGAAGAUUGCUUUUGUUGAAGUCUGACCACAGUUGGGCUCCAAAAGAAUCUUGUGAAAUAAACCAAUCUAUGUUGGGGUAGAUGGAGAGAUCAACUUGCACAAGAAAUGUGGAACCAAUGGAGGAGAAGACAUCACACUCAAUAAUUGAAAUAAUUUUUCUAUGUGAGGUUGUAAUAUUGAUUUUAUUUUGUUGAUGUGUUUGUGUUCUUGUAUAAGAGUUGUGCAUGUAUGCUUAUUAGUGCUAGUAAUUUUUACUUUUGAAACUUCUUUGUAACUUUCAUUUGCAUAAUAGUAAUGCUUUUUUAGUAAA